GCAGAGUCAUCUCUCUAUGAAGGCAGAAUAGGUCCAAUUGGGGUCUACCAGGCUUAAAAAUCAGGGGAGAGAGAGACUAGCAACGACUAACUGUUGCAUCGUGUACUGUGGCGGCUACUCUUGGCUGUCAGCCUGACUGGAUCUAGAAUGAACUACAGUCCAGAAAUGGAGGGCACACCUGCAAUUCUGAACUGGAGACAGUGAGACUACAAGCCUUUGCUCCAGAUACACCUGGAAGAUACACCUUCUGCUGGAAGCCAGUAUAAGGUCAAUGGAAGAAGCAAAGUUUCCUUCUACUUGCCCUUGACUUGCCAGCAAUCCAUUCCUUCACUGGCGUUGGCUCCUACUUCUUUGGGAUUCCAGCAUAUACAGAAGGCCAGAAGAGGCAACCAGCCUCGUGGGACUGAGCAACUACGAGACUCUUGGAUUUUCCAUUCAAACUAGCCAUUGUUGGGUUAGCUGGACUGUGUUCUGUGCACGGAUGUACCUUUUCCCUGCGAAGCUGAGUGCUAAGAUGUGAGAGAUAUUGCCUCAACAAUAUGUCUAGUGUUUCUGCGGGAGCUGAGAAAAAACUCUCAGAUCGCAGCAAUAAAAUUGCCAACUCUAUCAGAUUCUAGCAGCUGGGGACUUGAGGCUUGUUUAUCUUGUUCAAGGCCUCUCAAGCUAAGUAGAGGGCCCACAUGGUAAACACUGUCUGGCUUCGUACAAUUUGCCUGUUUCCUCUCAUUUCUACUUGAAACUGUACAAGAUGGGAACUACAUUUCCCAGACUUCUUUGUUGUGCCCUCCUGGUACUCUUGACCAAUGGAAGGCACUUGAAGAAGAUGUCAGUGCAGGUGAUGUGGGAUUUCCCUCUGUAUGCUAUGAGUAUGUUUUCUUACCAUUGGUUAAUAAAGAAAUUGUUUUGG